rnacentral:rRNA from 1 species
GACGAACGCUGGCGGCGUGCUUAACACAUGCAAGUCGAACGGAAAGGCCCUGCUUUUGUGGGGUGCUCGAGUGGCGAACGGGUGAGUAACACGUGAGUAACCUGCCCUUGACUUUGGGAUAACUUCAGGAAACUGGGGCUAAUACCGGAUAGGAGCUCCUGCUGCAUGGUGGGGGUUGGAAAGUUUCGGCGGUGGGGGAUGGACUCGCGGCUUAUCAGCUUGUUGGUGGGGUAGUGGCUUACCAAGGCUUUGACGGGUAGCCGGCCUGAGAGGGUGACCGGCCACAUUGGGCCUGAGAUACGGCCCAGACUCCUACGGGAGGCAGCAGUGGGGAAUAUUGCACAAUGGGCGGAAGCCUGAUGCAGCAACGCCGCGUGCGGGAUGACGGCCUUCGGGUUGUAAACCGCUUUCGCCUGUGACGAAGCGUGAGUGACGGUAAUGGGUAAAGAAGCACCGGCUAACUACGUG